AACGAACGCUGGCGGCAGGCUUAACACAUGCAAGUCGAGCGCAUCCUUCGGGGUGAGCGGCAGACGGGUGAGUAACGCGUGGGAACGUACCCUUUCCUACGGAAUAGCUCCGGGAAACUGGAAUUAAUACCGUAUACGCCCUUAGGGGGAAAGAUUUAUCGGGGAAGGAUCGGCCCGCGUUGGAUUAGCUAGUGGGUGGGGUAAAGGCCUACCAAGGCGACGAUCCAUAGCUGGUCUGAGAGGAUGAUCAGCCACAUUGGGACUGAGACACGGCCCAAACUCCUACGGGAGGCAGCAGUGGGGAAUAUUGGACAAUGGGCGCAAGCCUGAUCCAUCCAUGCCGCGUGAGUGAUGAAGGCCUUAGGGUUGUAAAGCUCUUUCAGUAGGGAAGAUAAUGACGGUACCUGCAGAAGAAGCCCCGGCUAACUUCGUGCCAGCAGCCGCCGUAA
rnacentral:rRNA from 1 species